rnacentral:rRNA from 1 species
UACGGGGGGGGCAAGCGUUGUUCGGAAUUACUGGGCGUAAAGGGCUCGUAGGCGGCCAACUAAGUCGGAUGUGAAAUCCCCAGGCUUAACCUGGGAACUGCAUCCGAUACUGGAUGGCUUGAAUCCGGGAGAGGGAUGCGGAAUUCCAGGUGUAGCGGUGAAAUGCAUAGAUAUGUCACAGAACACCAAUUGCGAAGGCAGCUUACUAAAGUUUAAUUGACGCUGAGGCACGAAAGCGUGGGGAUCAAACAGG